rnacentral:lncRNA from 1 species
UUGGGGUUUUUUUUUUUUUUUUUUUUUUUUUUUUUUUUUUUGGCAUUUGCACCCCACCCCCCUUAAAAAAAUUUCAUAAGUAGUCCUAUCAAUUUUAUAAUUACAAUUUUGAUCCUAUUCCCUCCACACAGGCGCUACAAAAGCACCAUACAAGCUGGUUGUAGAGCGGUGUUAAGUUGAACACAGUGAAUGGUUCACCGUAUUUCAUACUUAUAUUCCCCUUAUAUUCUCCUUUUCAAUAUUUAUAUUGCGUAUUCUCCUUUUCAAUACUUACAUUUUUUCGCAAUACAUAUAUUUUUUCUAAACACUUAGACGCGACGAAUGAAUUACCAUAUUGAAUUUAUUCCAGCACCUCCAUCCUUAUUCGCGUGAUGCUUACAUAGCGCCUGCGUGGCAGGAAUAGAAUCAAAAUUAUAAUUAUAAAUUUGAUAAAAUUAUUUAUAAAAAUAAGUUUUUUUGAAGGGAU